rnacentral:tRNA from 1 species
CGGGCAAUAGCGCAGUUGGUUUAGCGUACAAGUCUGGGGGACUUGGGGUCCCCGGUUCGAAUCCGGGUUGCCCGACCA